rnacentral:rRNA from 1 species
ACACGACCGUACCGCAAACCGACACUGGUGCGCGAGAUGAGUAUUCUCAGGCGCUUGAGAGAACUCGGGAGAAGGAACUCGGCAAAUUGACACCGUAACUUCGGAAGAAGGUGUGCCUUUAGUAGGUGAAGUCCCUCGCGGAUGGAGCCCAAUGAGGUUGCAAAGAAUCGGUGGCUGCGACUGUUUAAUAAAAACACAGCACUCUGCAAACACGAAAGUGGACGUAUAGGGUGUGACGCCUGCCCGGUGCUGGAAGAUUAAGUGAUGGGGUGCAAGCUCUUGAUCGAAGUCCCAGUAAACGGCGGCCGUAACUAUAACGGUCCUAAGGUAGCGAAAUUCCUUGUCGGGUAAGUUCCGACCUGCACGAAUGGCGUAACGAUGGCCACACUGUCUCCUCCCGAGACUCAGCGAAGUUGAAAUGUUUGUGAUGAUGCAAUCUCCCCGCGGAAAGACGGAAAGACCCCACAACCUUUACUGUAGCUUUGUAUUGGACUUUGAACGGAUCUGUGUAGGAUAGGUGGGAGGCUUUGAAGCCGGGUCGCUAGAUCUGGUGGAGCCAACGUUGAAAUACCACCCUGGUGCGUUUGAGGUUCUAACCUAGGCCCGUUAUCCGGGCCGGGGACAGUGCAUGGUAGGCAGUUUGACUGGGGCGGUCUCCUCCCAAAGCGUAACGGAGGAGUUCGAAGGUACGCUAGUUACGGUCGGACAUCGUGACGAUAGUGCAAUGGCAUAAGCGUGCUUAACUGCGAGACUGACAAGUCGAGCAGAUGCGAAAGCAGGACAUAGUGAUCCGGUGGUUCUGUAUGGAAGGGCCAUCGCUCAACGGAUAAAAGGUACUCUGGGGAUAACAGGCUGAUACCGCCCAAGAGUUCAUAUCGACGGCGGUGUUUGGCACCUCGAUGUCGGCUCAUCUCAUCCUGGGGCUGUAGCCGGUCCCAAGGGUAUGGCUGUUCGCCAUUUAAAGAGGUACGUGAGCUGGGUUUAAAACGUCGUGAGACAGUUUGGUCCCUAUCUUCCGUGGGCGCUGCAGAUUUGAGGAAGCCUGCUCCUAGUACGAGAGGACCGGAGUGGACGCACCUCUGGUGUACCUGUUGUCACGCCAGUGGCAUUGCAGGGUAGCUAAGUGCGGAAGAGAUAACCGCUGAAAGCAUCUAAGCGGGAAACUCGUUUCAAGAUGAGAUCUGCCGGGGCCUUGAGCCCCCUGAAGAGUCGUUCUAGACCAGGACGUUGAUAGGUCAGGUGUGGAAGCGCAGUAAUGCGUUAAGCUAACUGAUACUAAUUGCUCGCGCGGCUUGACU